rnacentral:rRNA from 1 species
AGGAAUAUUGGUCAAUGGGCGAGAGCCUGAACCAGCCAAGUAGCGUGAAGGAUGACUGCCCUAUGGGUUGUAAACUUCUUUUAUAAAGGAAUAAAGUCGGGUAUGGAUACCCGUUUGCAUGUACUUUAUGAAUAAGGAUCGGCUAACUCCGUGCCAGCAGCCGCGGUAAUACGGAGGAUCCGAGCGUUAUCCGGAUUUAUUGGGUUUAAAGGGAGCGCAGACGGGGGAUUAAGUCAGUUGUGAAAGUUUGCGGCUCAACCGUAAAAUUGCAGUUGAUACUGGUUCCCUUGAGUGCAGUUGAGGCAGGCGGAAUUCGUGGUGUAGCGGUGAAAUGCAUAGAUAUCACGAAGAACCCCGAUUGCGAAGGCAGCCUGCUAAGCUGUAACUGACGUUGAGGCUCGAAAGUGUGGGUAUCAAACAGGAUUAGAUACCCUGGUAGUCCACACGGUAAACGAUGGAUACUCGCUGUUGGCGAUAUACUGUCAGCGGCCAAGCGAAAGCAUUAAGUAUUCCACCUGGGGAGUACGCCGGCAACGGUGAAACUCAAAGGAAUUGACGGGGGCCCGCACAAGCGGAGGAACAUGUGGUUUAAUUCGAUGAUACGCGAGGAACCUUACCCGGGCUUAAAUUGCAACCGAAUAUGGCGGAAACGCUAUAGCUAGCAAUAGCGGUUGUGAAGGUGCUGCAUGGUUGUCGUCAGCUCGUGCCGUGAGGUGUCGGCUUAAGUGCCAUAACGAGCGCAACCCUUAUCUUCAGUUACUAACAGGUCAUGCUGAGGACUCUGGAGAGACUGCCGUCGUAAGAUGUGAGGAAGGUGGGGAUGACGUCAAAUCAGCACGGCCCUUACGUCCGGGGCUACACACGUGUUACAAUGGGAGGUACAGAAGGCAGCUACCCGGCGACGGGAUGCCAAUCUCCAAAGCCUCUCUCAGUUCGGACUGGAGUCUGCAACCCGACUCCACGAAGCUGGAUUCGCUAGUAAUCGCGCAUCAGCCACGGCGCGGUGAAUACGUUCCCG